AAACAUGAUAUAAACAGAAAUUCCAUCCAUUCCGUCCAUGGAUGCAAAGAUCUGCUUCGACUUCCACAGCGGAGAACUACAUACUUCAGCAGAGCAAACCGGAACCUGGUGGUAACUAAGUACAUCAACUCAAGCUCUGUACUUAGGUACAAUUUUGAGAAACGUUGCUGUUUGGCUUUAUUUUGAAAGUCUGCCCGGAAACGGAUUAGUUCACCGUGCGGAAGGAUCACCUCUGCGUGACUCUCCGGAGCUCCUUCCUCACUUUCCCUCUGCAGGAGCCGGCGUGGUGAACUGAAGCCCGGCCACAAAAGCCAUGUUCAGACUCCUCAGUCACGGAGGUCAGAGGUCGCGCCGCUGCCUCUCAGUUCAGCGAAGAUAUGACCACCAUCGAGCCGUCAUGGCUAUCCGCCGUGAGGACAUCAACCCCUGGGAGAGGAGGGCGCCGCUCGCACCGAAACACGUCAAAGAGCUGACCAACGCCGGAGUCAAAGUGCUGCUACAGCCAUCCAAUCGGAGAGCAAUACACGAGAAGG